rnacentral:ribozyme from 1 species
UUUUUUUUUUUUUUUUUUUUUUUUUUCUGCUGGAUAGAGAGAGAAAGAAAGG